UCCGAUGUGGUCUAGUGGCUAGGAUUUGCCGCUCUCAUCUCGCAAGAGUGAAGCGCCGGCAAGGCCGGGGUCCAAUUCCCCGCAUCGGAA